GCGUGAGAGAUCGACCGUUGCUCCCUGAUCUUAGGGUCUUUGUUGGUUGUUCAUGGAGCUUAGGAUUUUUUUGAGGUGAAGAUGGCUGCUCCUCCUCCUGUCUCUAAUGGCUCUAGGUUUUUAGGGGCGUUUUGUUAAUGAUCUGGAGAAGAUGAAGUUCAAGAGGGAGGGGAUGUGUUUGUAUUCAUCAAUGCUUUGGAUUAGAGUGUCCAAAUGGCUGAAGGCUUUAUCUUUUGGUGGAGAUGUUUGGCU
rnacentral:lncRNA from 1 species